GGCUCAGAUUAAACGCUGGCGGCAGGCCUAACACAUGCAAGUCGAGCGGUAGCACAAGAGAGCUUGCUCUCUGGGUGACGAGCGGCGGACGGGUGAGUAAUGUUUGGGAAACUGCCUGAUGGUGGGGGAUAACUAGUGGAAACGGUAGCUAAUACCGCAUAAUGUCGCAAGACCAAAGUGGGGGACCUUCGGGCCUCACGCCAUCAGAUGUGCCCAGAUGGGAUUAGCUGUUAGGUGGGGUAAUGGCUCACCUAGGCGACGAUCCCUAGCUGGUCUGAGAGGAUGACCAGCCACACUGGAACUGAGACACGGUCCAGACUCCUACGGGAGGCAGCAGUGGGGAAUAUUGCACAAUGGGCGCAAGCCUGAUGCAGCCAUGCCGCGUGUGUGAAGAAGGCCUUCGGGUUGUAAAGCACUUUCAGCGAGGAGGAAGGGUAAUGUGUU
rnacentral:rRNA from 1 species